AAAUAAUUAACAUUAGGAAAUAUUUCAUUUUUCAGGAGAGCUUGUGAUACUUGUAUUGGUAAUGUAAUUUUUAUAUUGUGUAUAAUAAUGCGUUGUACGUACAAUUUGCUGUGGCUGUUGAAUGGUUUACUUGUGAUAUCAGAUGCUCAGACAGUGAAUCUUGGAGUCUGUUCAAAUGAAGGCGAACCUCUACAAUGUUGUCGAAAUUACAAACUACGUGGUGAUUCAUGUGAAGAAUGCUCGCCAGGCACGUUUGGCAUAGAUUGUAAUGAGGACUGUCCUGACGUGUUCUAUGGACGUUUUUGUAUAGAAGUCUGUAAUUGUUCUUCGUGUGACAAGGUCUCGGGGUGUCAGCCGAUUUCAACUCAGACUGGUAAGAAAAUAUCUGCAUAAGUUUCAGCGGAUAGUGUAUAGACAUUAACAAUAAACAAUUAUGAGAUAUAUUUCAACAAAGAUACUCACUUAAAUAAAUAAAUGCUUAUUCGGUAUAUAUGCACAUACAAAUAUACAUACAUAAAUACUAAGGAUAUUCCAUGAAAGCUUAAAAGCUUUUUUCCAAUGGGGUCCUUUGAUGCACGGAUGUUCGCACCAGGGGCAUUAUGUAGGUGGGAACCGGAGUACCCAUAGGAAACCUACGUAUCCAUACCCUAUGGACAGGACUUGCACCUCACCCCGCCCUAGAUUAAUUUUUUUUUAUGAUCACAAAGUUCAUCUAUUCAGCAUUUGAAAACAUGACGGCCAGAUGCUAGAUGGAAAAAAACUUCAAAGGAAGAAAGAGAAAAAGUUGUAUUCUUGUGUUGUUGUCUCAUAACUUUAAUAUCAAAAAAUUCCUAACAUGUUUCCCUACUAUACUUGUGUCCAAACAUACCUUCAAAUAUUUAUUAAAGCCUCAAAAACUCGAUCACAGCUUUUGAUGAUUUCGUUCGUAGACGUAGCCAUGUUAGGUAGCCAGUCAAUUUGAAUCCCGGUUCAUUUCCAUACUGGCAGAAUUGCGUCUAGAUGUGUACUAAUACCCCACAAAUAUCUUAGCUAAAUAGUUUAGAUAAUAUACCACCCAGUCCCAUUAAAUGAUAAUUAUUCAAAUAGCUAAACUCAAGGCAAUGCGGCUUUCAUUAGUCAUGAGCGGCCGCGCCGGCCGGUCUCUAUCUAAUGGGCUUAUGUAGCAUUUUCGUUAAUCAAGAGCUUAUUUUACCUUUACAAAAACUGGUACAAAAAUGUUUUAAUUUCUAUUAAUUAUUCGUGUUGAAUAGGUCCCUGGUGUUGAUAAUAAAUGAAGAGCGAAUACAUAACUUACAACCGAUUUUAUGAAUAGAUACCAAUAGCAAGAGUUCGAAUUGACCGGCUACCUAACAUGGCUACGUCAACAAACGAAAUCAUUUGAAGCUACGAGUUUUCGGACCGUGUGUGGCUUUAAUGAAAAUUUGAAGGUAUGUUUGGACACAAGUAUAUAGUACGAAAAUAUGUUAAGAUUUUUUUAUAUUGAGUUUAUGAGACAGCAACACAAGAAUACACCGAUUUCAGGCCUCAAUCGUCCGAAGCUUUUUGUGACCCGUAAAUCGAAGGUUUUUAUAAGGGGUGGAUCUUUUCAGAGAGCUAUGUACAUUUCUCCAGCUACACUGACUCCGCUCGAGAAAGUGGGCGGGGUGUAAUCGGCCAAUGAAAACUCUUGUUGUAUUACAUCAAACAUGUCAUUCAAAUUGUUCAAUCGUCUCAUUCAAUUGUGUCGUCACACAACGCAAUACUAUAUCGGGUAAAGCGUUCUCAUUCAAAGGUGAAUUGCGAUAAAAUCACUGCACAUGACAAUCAAUAAAAUAGGUUUCUGUGUGGGAUUUGUUUAUUUCAUUGAAAUAACAAUAGGCCCAUGGGCCACAUCGCUCACCUAGAUACCAUUGCACUGCUCUUGUUCAGCUAUUGUGAUUUUUAAAGUGUUUUUUCCAAUGUUCACUCCCAUGAAAAAUUGUUAACACAAUCUAACCUCAAAGGAAAACCGAACUUGAAUUCAUACAACAUGGAUAUGCCUCAAUACCCAUAUUACUAACAUUACGUUGCUGUUCUGAAAAAGUUUUUCAUUCAUGUAUACAAUAUGUCAAAUUUUAUACAUCCUAACCCUAGAGUUAACAACACGAAUAAAAAACUCCACAAAACUUUGGAACGUUUGCAUUUUGAUAUGAUUUAGUGCGGUCCUCUUACUGUUGAAAUUGACAAGAAUUUUCCUGAUAAAUUUCCUGUAUAUUCCUAUAUAAGAAUCUUAUCUUCUACUGUGGCCCAGCCUCUGGGCUCCUGAACUGAAAACAAAUUCCAUUUCAACUACCUGAAGAAGUUUGCAUAGUAAUAUUGUAAAUCAUGCCCCUGCUGUUGUUGAUAUGAAGAACUUUAAAGAUGAUAUCCCUAUAUACUUUUAUUUGAAGUUUUGAGCCCAUAUUGUGGCUCCAACUUACCCACAGGACCAUAAUGUGAGGAAACUUGAAUCUGCACUAACUGGGGAUGCUUGUGUAUCUUUAUGAUUCAUCAUGGUCCUAUUGUUCUUAGAGCAAAGAUUUAAAGAUUAAAAUUUAAAGAUGCCUUUUUAUCUGCAUGUGAUCCCUAUUGUGGACCCACCUCGCCCCCGUGGUCAUGGCUUGAUUAUUGACCCACCUCGCCCCCGUGGUCAUGGCUUGGACAAAUUAUACACUAUGUCAGGAAGCCUUGUAUUCUCUGUACCCAAGGGUGAUUUGUACCAACGUUGAAAUGGCGCAGUGGUUCUGGCGAAGAGUUUACGGACAGACGCCUGGCAACAUGUGAUCGGAAAAGCUCAUCUGAAAGCUGUUUUAGCUGAAGUGGGGUAAAACACUAGCUCUUAAGUUGAAUAGUUUGUUAAAACUAUACGCGAAAUACCCAAAGUAUUGAACAUUUAAAAGUAAUGGGAAAAGGGCAAGGAUUUGGGAGGCAGUCCUUUAUGGGUUUUAGAGUGAUUCGACCAUUUCUUUAAGGCAGGACAAAAUGUAAAGUUUCUUGUUUACUUUGUUUACUUCCUUUGCAUUGAGUUGUUUUAAUUUUCCAAGUUUAAAAAAAUAUAUUAAUCAAUAUUUUCAACUUUAUAGCUUACGUAACUUUAAAUAAAACACCUCCUUCCAAUUCUAUUUUUGUUAAAAGUUAAUCGCUAACCUUGCAAGCAUGUCACAUUUGACAAAAUUGUUAUCUGCAUCAAUUCAUACACUAUGAAUGAACCAAAUCUGUCUCAAUUAACCGGAAAUAUCAUUUAAGCACAUAUGCAAAUAAAAUUUCCUGUUUGUGAAGGUAGAUCAACACUAAUAAAAUGUUUGAAAACAUUUUAUUUUUAAAAAGUGCCUAUGAUUAUUGUCUUGGUACAUUUUCACAAGUCAAGGGUUAUUGAUUUAUGUACUUAUAGUGAGAGGUAACGAAUGGAUAACCCUUGACUUGUGAAGAUGGUCUUGGUAAUGUAAUCUUUAUGUUAUGUACAAUAAUGUGUUGUACAUAUAAUUUGGUGUUGCUGUUGAAUGGCUCAGUUGUGACGUCAGAUAAUCAGACAGAGAAUCCUGAAGUCUGCACAAAGUAUGUAAACAUUUUAUUGUAUGAUACUCCCCUUGAAUUUUUUAUAUUUUCCAAUGUUAAGAUCUCCAAUCAUUGUUAUAUGAAAACUUUCUCCCAAGCAGUAAAAGUUAACCUCUACAAUGUUGUAAAAGUUACAACGGACGUGGUGAUUCAUAAUGCUCGUCAGGCACCUUUGGCAUAGAUUGUAAUGAGGACUGUCUUGACGGGUUCUAUGGAGGUUUAUAAUUGUUCUUUGUGUGACAAGGUCUCUGGAUGUCAGGUGAUUGGUAAAAAAAAUGUUUGUGCAUAAGUUUAAGUUUUAUUCCUCGAAUGGCUCAAGUUAUUUACUAUAUAAAUGUGUUUAUAUUAGCAAUAAAUAGUUACGAGAGAUAUUUCAAAAAGAUACUUAAAUAAAUAAAUGUUUAUUCGGUAUAUGCAUACAUACACACAUUUCAACAAGCUCUGUACCCAAGGAUGAUUUCUACCUAGUUUGAAAUUGGUGCAGUGCUUCUGCAGAAGAUAGAAAUGUGAAAAGUUUAUGUACAGACGGACGGGCGCCUGACAACCUGUGAUCGGAAAAGCUCACCUGAUCUGAAAGCUCAAAUCAUAUGAGGUAAAACACUACUCUUAAGUUGAAUAUUUUGUGAAAAAUGUACGCGAAAUACCAAAGGCAUUGAACAUUUAAAAGUACAGGAAAAGGGGCGGGGGUGGGGUGUGAAAGUCCUUUAUCCACAAACACCUGUGUUCUCAAACUAAGGGGUCUCCAUGGCGUAGUGGUUAGAGCAUCACGCUCAAAAUCACAUGGCCUUUCACUUCUGCUCGGUGCGGGUUCGAAGUUUCCCAGUUCACCUGCGGAAGCUCGGUAGUCUUGUAUCUGGAUUCUCUUCUUCCAAGAAAAACUGGGCGCAUCCAUAUAACUGAAAAAUUGUUGAGUGUGGCGGAAAACAUCAAUCAGUCAAUCAAUCAAUCUCAAACCAAAAUUAAGGGUUGUACAUAAUAUGAUUCGAGCACUUCUCUAAGGCAGGACAAACUAUAAAAUUUAUUUGUUUAAUUUGUUUUCUUCCGUUGCUUUGAGUUCUUUGAAUUCCACAAGUUUAAAAAACAUGAAUUAGUUAAUACAUGUACAUGAAAGGUGAAAAUAACGAACAUUGAUCAAUUUCAUAACUCCUAUAAGCAAUACAAAAUAGAGAGUUGGGCAAACAAGGACCCCUGGUUAUACCACAGGUGGGAUGAGGUUCCUAGGAGGAGUAAACAUCCCCUGUUGACCGGUCACACCCGCCGUGAACCUAUAUCUUGAUGAGGUAAACGGAGUUAUCGUAGUCAAAAUCAGUGUGCCAAGAACAACCUAACAGUCGGUAUGAAACAUAUAUCUUCAACUUCAUAGCUUAUUAUCACAGAUUGACUGAGUUCUUGUCAAUAUAUAUAUAAAUGACAAACUUCACAACACUUUACAAUAUACAGUUUUUCUCCACUUUUACAUAUUACAUUUUGUUUACUACAGUUCAUUAAAUUAAUGAAAUUAAUGUUGGUUUCUGCUUCCACAUCAUAUGUUCUUGUUCCCAAACUUUGGCGUGCAGAGGUGUAACUAGCGAAUGGCAAUGUUUCCUAUAUUUGAUCUACUUGUACACUGGACAUCAGAAGUGAAGUGAAGACAAUCUGGUUUAUUGAGAAAUUAGUAAGUGAAGUUUUCAAUAUACAAAACACUGGUUGCCAACUAUAUCUCUGUGCACGCUUUGCCUGCUACGCCCAAACCAACUCGCAACUGGUAUUUCAAGUGAAUAUAUACACAGACAGGGAAUAAAUGUGACGCUUCACUCUCGGAUACUUCAUGAACAGCAUCAGCUCGAACAAGACAAAUACUAACCCCUGGAUAUACCAGUGGUGGGAUUAGGUGCCUAGGAGGAGUACGCAUCCCCUGUCGACCGGUCACGCCCGCCGUAAAUCUAUCUUUAUCAAGUAUAAAUGUUAUGAAUUAUUACACACUUUCGUAUGAUGAUUAUGGUGCAUAUUUCGUAGUAAUUAAAAAUGAAAUUUAUACAAAACAAAUAUAUAUUCCUCAAUAUUUUUAAUUGUCACUUCAAAUAGGAAGGAAGUUGUACCGGAUAUUUCAUUUCAGCACAUAUCCAAAUCAACUUUCCUGUUUGGGAAGGUAAAUCAGUACUAUUAGAAUGUUAGGGAACGUUUCCAUAUUCAGAAUAAGCUAUGAUACUGGUUUUGGUAAUGUAAUGUUAUGAUGUGCAUAAUAAACCGCUUUUAUUUGGUGGUGCUGUUGAAUAGUUUAUUUGUGAUAUCACUUGUUCAGAUAUAUAAUCCUGGGGUCUGCUCAAAGUAUGUAAACAUUUUAUUGUAUGAUUGAUGAUUUUUAUACAUUCUGAUUUUUAAAUUCUCCAUUCAUUGCUUUAUAAAAAUGUUCCUCCAAACAUUGAAGACGAUCCUCUACAAUGUUGUCGAAAUUACAAAAGACGUGGUGAUUCAUGUGAAGGUAAUUAUCAAAAUAAUAUCUGAG